rnacentral:rRNA from 1 species
CGUAGUUGAAACUGUGUCCUGCGGCGUCGGUCUACCGAAUGCGGUACGACGGGCGCGUCAGCGGGGCUUCUCGCCGGUGCGCGUUCUCCGGGCUUGGGGUACUCUUCGCGAGUCUCCUCGCCGUCGGGAGGAUCCUCGCGGCUGUUUACUUUGAACAAAUUAGAGUGCUCAAAGCGGGCUUAUAUUUGCCUGAAUAUUGUGCGCAUGGAAUAAUAGAAUAGGACCUCGGUUCUGUUUUGUUGGCUUUCUGACACCAGAGGUAAUGAUUAAUAGGGACAACUGGGGGCAUUCGUAUUGCGACGUUAGAGGUGAAAUUCUUGGAUCGUCGCAAGACGGACUAAAGCGAAAGCAUUUGCCAAAGGUGUUUUCAUUAAUCAAGAACGAAAGUUAGAGGUUCGAAGGCGAUUAGAUCCCGCUGUAGUUCUAACCAUAAAUGAUGCCAGCCAGCGAUCCGCCGAAGUUUUUUACGUUGAUUCGGUGGGCAGCUCCCGGGAAACCAAAGCUUUCGGGCUCCGGGGGAGUAUGGUUGCAAAGCUGAAACUUAAAGGAAUU